rnacentral:rRNA from 1 species
UACGGAGGGUGCAAGCGUUGCUCGGAAUUAUUGGCGUAAGGGCGAGGUAGGUGGUCCGAUUUGUCUGGGGUGAAAUCCCAGGGCUUAACCCUGGAAGUGCCCCCAGAAACGGUCGGACUCGAGUGCUGGAGAGGGUCGUGGAAUUCCUGGUGUAGCGGUGAAAUGCGCAGAUAUCAGGAGGAACACCGAUGGCGAAGGCAGGUCUCUGGGCCACUACUGACGCUGAGAAGCGAAAGCAUGGGGAGCGAACAGG